UACGUAGGGUGCGAGCGUUGUCCGGAAUUAUUGGGCGUAAAGAGCUCGUAGGCGGCUUGUCGCGUCGGCUGUGAAAGCCCGGGGCUUAACUCCGGGUCUGCAUUCGAUACGGGCAGGCUAGAGUUCGGUAGGGGAGAUCGGAAUUCCUGGUGUAGCGGUGAAAUGCGCAGAUAUCAGGAGGAACACCGGUGGCGAAGGCGGAUCUCUGGGCCGAUACUGACGCUGAGGAGCGAAAGCGUGGGGAGCAAACAGG
rnacentral:rRNA from 1 species